rnacentral:lncRNA from 1 species
GUGAUCCACCCGCUUUAGCCUCCCAAACUGCUGGAAUUACAGGUGUGAGCCACCACACCUGCCCCGGGGGAAAUGGCUUUCUUUAAAUGCUUUGAAACAGAUCUCUUAGAAACUGCUCUAACAUAAUGAAUAUUAUCCACCUGUGUAAUAUAAGACUUUCUUUGAACACAUAGUUGAAAACAAUCCACUUUUAUUUGUAUUUACUCAUCAAUGAGCCUCAGAGGAUAAUAUUAUCUAUCCUACAUCCAUAAAACUAUAUAGAAGAAACUGUGCAAUGGAUCUUUAUUCUAAUCUGGGAGUGGAUGAACCACAUCUACGGAUUUUUAAUUCUUUUUUGUCUUCUCUUAUUGGCCACUCAAUAACUAAUACUUCAAAGGACUUGGUCAGUUUUUCUACUAGGUCUCAGAGCCUACAACAAUACCUGGGAUAAAGAUAGGAUAAACAAGUGUUUAUUGAGUGAAUGCUGACUACCUGAACAAAAAGAAUACCUUUGUGGUUAUAAACUCAAGCCUUUAAUAAAACAGAAUUGUCCUUCAAGGGCCAGGGUUGCAGUGUGCCUGUGCUUGUAUGCAGACGAACAUCCGUGUCAUCACCAGUCCUAACAGUGACUUAUUUUAAGAUGCUAGCUCUUCUUGGUGGAGAACUUGAUCAUGAAAAACUUCCUAAAAUCCUACUACACAAUUAACACCUUUGGGUGCAUGGGCAGUCCCUUUUCUUCCCAAUCACUCUAUUGGAACAUUAAUGAGGAAAACCAAUAAGGGUUAGAAGUAUAUUGAUCAUUGCUAGAAAAUGCGGUCCUAGUCCAACCACACAGAAUCAGUCCCAGAAUACAGAUAUCCCUGGGAAUGGAAUACCUAGGACCUAACAUUUUAUUUAUUAAUUUCACAGAUAUUUAUUUAACAUCGACUACAUGCCAGACAGUGUUCUAGGCCCAAGAGACACAGCUAAGUCUGCGCUUUCGUGAAUUGGUAGUACGUCAAGUGGUGAUGAGUUCUCUAAAGAGAAAUAAAGCAGAGUAAGGAGCAGGGGGAGACGGAGCGUGCAGCAUGGUUAUAUAAUGUGGCUCUCAAGGAAGGACAGGGAGGGAGAUGGGAGCAAGCCACACAGCCAUGUGGGGAAAGAACAUCCCACACAGAGGGC